AACGAACGCUGGCGGCAGGCUUAACACAUGCAAGUCGAACGCCCCGCAAGGGGAGUGGCAGACGGGUGAGUAACGCGUGGGAACAUACCCUUUUCUACGGAAUAGCUCUGGGAAACUGGAAUUAAUACCGUAUGCGCCCUACGGGGGAAAGAUUUAUCGGGGAAGGAUUGGCCCGCGUUGGAUUAGCUAGUUGGUGGGGUAAAGGCCUACCAAGGCGACGAUCCAUAGCUGGUCUGAGAGGAUGAUCAGCCACAUUGGGACUGAGACACGGCCCAAACUCCUACGGGAGGCAGCAGUGGGGAAUAUUGGACAAUGGGCGCAAGCCUGAUCCAGCCAUGCCGCGUGAGUGAUGAAGGCCUUAGGGUUGUAAAGCUCUUUCACCGAUGAAGAUAAUGACGGUAGUCGGAGAAGAAGCCCCGGCUAACUUCGUG
rnacentral:rRNA from 1 species